CAAAACGACCCUUCCCUUCUAGCUGUGCACCCAUGGUAUCGAGUUUGCACGCAUGCGCGUCCCUCUGAGACUGCAAGCGUGCAUGUUUCUGCACUUCCUCCUUGUGCGCCGGCGAUAUCCGAAUGUAGCCGUGAGGUGCCCCUCUUGCGAUGGGCGCGAAACUAUGUGAAGCCUGAGCUUGCGCGUGCCGCUGCGGCUGCUUUUUGUCGAGUCACGAGCGCCGACGCAUACGGCCCAGUGGCGAACCCAGCAAGUAAUUUUUUUUUUAAUGAGCUGCACCAUUUUGUGUCCAAUCUUUGUUGUUUCUUUUUAUGAAUGGGGCAUUCCCCCACAGAAGAGCAUGUCAGAAAAUGCCCCCUAUAGAAGGAGACAGUGUCAACUCCCAUUGAUGACCAGCAGUUAGGACACAUGGACCUGUGACAGAAAAGCUGCCGGAUGGAUCUGGGACAGCGACGCUGGCCUGUACUUUCCUAUCGUCUCCAUUAUCCAUGGCAACCUGCUUUCAAGUCAUAGAAGGAAAAGGUGGAGAAAGACACACGCAGUCACUUCAUUGCAAGGACAGGUACAGAGACUUGUGGCCACCUGAAAAAGAAGCAUUUCUACUUCGUCUGUCACCGGUCUGGAAGUUAUGCUUCACAAGCUACAAGUAAACAAAAGCUGAAGCGGCCUUCAAGUGUCAAGUGUGGAAAAAGAUGUUUUGCGGCAAUGGCUGUGACUGAAGACAACACAGGGCACUAAACUUCAGUAAAAAAAAAUUUUAUGAGCCGCACAUUCUAGCAGACAAAAUAACCUGCAAGUACAUUGCUGGAGAAAAAGAAUGUCUCAUGUUGGUCUUGCAUAUAUAAGUUACACUGUUCUACAAUACGCUUGGACGAAAAUGAAAAGAAAAUGGUGGCACCUAUGGUUUGGAAAAU